UAGGGAAUCUUCCGCAAUGGACGCAAGUCUGACGGAGCAACGCCGCGUGAGUGAAGAAGGAUUUCGGUUCGUAAAACUCUGUUGUUAGAGCAGAACAGCGCAUAGAGUAACUGUUAUGCGUGUUACUGUAUCUAACCAGAAAGCCACGGCUAACUACGUGCCAGCAGCCGCGGUAAUACGUAGGUGGCAAGCGUUGUCCGGAUUUAUUGGGCGUAAAGCGAGCGCAGGCGGUUAGAAAAGUCUGAAGUGAAAGGCAGUGGCUCAACCAUUGUAGGCUUUGGAAACUGUUUAACUUGAGUGCAGAAGGGGAGAGUGGAAUUCCAUGUGUAGCGGUGAAAUGCGUAGAUAUAUGGAGGAACACCGGUGGCGAAAGCGGCUCUCUGGUCUGUAACUGACGCUGAGGCUCGAAAGCGUGGGGAGCGAACAGG
rnacentral:rRNA from 1 species